CCUACGGGAGGCAGCAGUGAGGAAUAUUGGUCAAUGGGCGAGAGCCUGAACCAGCCAAGUCGCGUGAGGGAGUACUGCCCUAUGGGUUGUAAACCUCUUUUGUCGGGGAGCAAAAGCCGGACGUGUCCGGCUGUGAGAGUACCCGAAGAAAAAGCAUCGGCUAACUCCGUGCCAGCAGCCGCGGGAAUACGGGGGAUGCGAGCGUUAUCCGGGUUUAUUGGGUUUAAAGGGGGCGCAGGCGGGUUUUUAAGUCAUCGUGAAAAUCGUGGGGCUAAAACCCAUCCAGCCGUUGAAACUGGGGAUCUAGAGUGUGCGAGAGGUAGGCGGAAUGCGUGGUGUAGCGGUGAAAUGCAUAGAUAUCACGCAGAACCCCGAUUGCGAAGGCAGCAUACCGGUGCACAACUGACGCUCAGGCACGAAAGCGUGGGUAUCGAACAGGAUUAGAUACCCGAGUAGUC
rnacentral:rRNA from 1 species